rnacentral:rRNA from 1 species
GUAAGGAAUAUUGGACAAUGGACGCAAGUCUGAUCCAGCCAUGCCGCGUGAAGGAUUAAGGUCCUCUGGAUUGUAAACUUCUUUUAUAAGGGACGAAAAAAGGCUUUUCUAAGUCGUCUGACGGUACCUUAUGAAUAAGCACCGGCUAACUCCGUGCCAGCAGCCGCGGUAAUACGGAGGGUGCAAGCGUUAUCCGGAUUCACUGGGUUUAAAGGGUGCGUAGGCGGGCAGGUAAGUCAGUGGUGAAAUCCUAGAGCUUAACUCUAGAACUGCAAUUGAUACUAUCUGUCUUGAAUAUUGUGGAGGUAAGCGGAAUAUGUCAUGUAGCGGUGAAAUGCUUAGAUAUGACAUAGAACACCUAUUGCGAAGGCAGCUUACUACGCAUAUAUUGACGCUGAGGCACGAAAGCGUGGGGAUCAAACAGGAUUAGAAACCCUAGUAGUCC